AGUGAACGCUGGCGGUAGGCCUAACACAUGCAAGUCGAACGGCAUCACAGUAAGAGCUUGCUCUUACGGGUGGCGAGUGGCGGACUUGUGAUGAAUACAUCGGAAUCUACUUGUUCGUGAGGGAUAACGUAGGGAAACUUACGCGAAUACCGCAUACGACCUACGGGUGAAAGCAUGGGAUCUUCGGACCUUGCGCGAUUGAAUGAGCCGAUGUCGGAUUAGCUAGUUGGCGGGUGAAAGGCCCACCAAGGCGACGAUCCGUAGCUGGUCUGAGAGGAUGAGCCGCCACACUGGAACUGAGACACGGUCCAGACUCCGACGGGAGGCAGCAGUGGGGAAUAUUGGACUAUGCGUCCAAGCCUGAUCCUGCCAUAUCGCGUGGGUGAAGAAGGCAUUCGGGUUCUAAAGCCAUUUUGUUGGGAAAGAAAAGCAGCAGGUUAAUACCACGCUGUUCUGACGGUACCCAAAGAAUAAGCACCGGCUAACUUCGUG
rnacentral:rRNA from 1 species